rnacentral:rRNA from 1 species
CCUACGGGAGGCAGCAGUGAGGAAUAUUGGUCAAUGGACGAGAGUCUGAACCAGCCAAGUAGCGUGAAGGAUGACUGCCCUAUGGGUUGUAAACUUCUUUUAUAUGGGAAUAAAACGUUCCACGUGUGGGAUUUUGUAUGUACCAUAUGAAUAAGGAUCGGCUAACUCCGUGCCAGCAGCCGCGGUAAUACGGAGGAUCCGAGCGUUAUCCGGAUUUAUUGGGUUUAAAGGGAGCGUAGGUGGAUUGUUAAGUCAGUUGUGAAAGUUUGUGGCUCAACCGUAAAAUUGCAGUUGAAACUGGCAGUCUUGAGUACAGUAGAGGUGGGCGGAAUUCGUGGUGUAGCGGUGAAAUGCUUAGAUAUCACGAAGAACUCCGAUUGCGAAGGCAGUUCACUGGACUGCAACUGACACUGAGGCUCGAAAGUGUGGGUAUCAAACAGGAUUAGAUACCCCGGUAGUC